rnacentral:tRNA from 1 species
GGGUCAUUAGCUCAGGUGGAAGAGCACCGGACUUUUAAUCCGGGUGUCGUGGGUUCGAGUCCCGCAUGACCCACCA